rnacentral:rRNA from 1 species
CUGCUGCCUUCCGUAGGAGUCUGGUCCGUGUCUCAGUACCAGUGUGGGGGACCUUCCUCUCAGAACCCCUAUCCAUCGUGGACUUGGUGAGCCGUUACCUCACCAACUAUCUAAUGGAACGCAUGCCCAUCUAUCAGCGAUAAUUCUUUAACAAAUAUUUCCAUGUGGAACCCCUGUUUUAUGCGGUAUUAGUCCGACUUUCGCCGGGUUACGUUCCCCUCCUGAUAGGUAGGUUGCAUACGCGUUACUCACCCGUCGCGCCGGUCCG